AGAGUUUGAUCCUGGCUCAGGACGAACGCUGGCGGCGUGCUUAACACAUGCAAGUCGAACGAGGUCCAUCCGAUCUUCGGAUUGGUGAAGACCUAGUGGCGAACGGGUGCGUAACACGUGAGAAACCUGCCCCGGUCUCUGGGAUAACAGUUGGAAACGACUGCUAAUACCGGAUGCCGUCGGACCGUCGCAUGGCGGACCGACGAAAGGGUUACCGGACCGGGAGGGUCUCGCGGCCUAUCAGCUAGUUGGUGAGGUAACGGCUCACCAAGGCAUCGACGGGUAGCUGGUCUGAGAGGAUGAUCAGCCACACUGGGACUGAGACACGGCCCAGACUCCUACGGGAGGCAGCAGUGGGGAAUAUUGCACAAUGGGCGAAAGCCUGAUGCAGCAACGCCGCGUGCGGGAUGAAGGCCCUAGGGUUGUAAACCGCUUUCAGCAGGGAAGAAAAUGACGGUACCUGUAGAAGAAGGUGCGGCCAACUACGUGCCAGCAGCCGCGGUGACACGUAGGCACCAAGCGUUGUCCGGAUUUAUUGGGCGUAAAGAGCUCGUAGGCGGUUCAGUAAGUCGGGUGUGAAAACUCUGGGCUCAACCCAGAGACGCCACCCGAUACUGCUGUGACUAGAGUGCGGUAGGGGAGCGGGGAAUUCCUAGUGUAGCGGUGAAAUGCGCAGAUAUUAGGAGGAACACCAGUGGCGAAGGCGCCGCUCUGGGCCGUAACUGACGCUGAGGAGCGAAAGCGUGGGUAGCAAACAGGAUUAGAUACCCUGGUAGUCCACGCCGUAAACGUUGGGCACUAGGUGUGGGUCUCAACCAACGAGAUCCGCGCCGUCGCUAACGCAUUAAGUGCCCCGCCUGGGGAGUACGGUCGCAAGGCUAAAACUCAAAGGAAUUGACGG
rnacentral:rRNA from 1 species